UACGUAGGCACCAAGCGUUGUCCGGAUUUAUUGGGCGUAAAGAGCUCGUAGGCGGCUUGUCGCGUCGGAUGUGAAAGCCCGGGGCUUAACCCCGGGUCUGCAUUCGAUACGGGCAGGCUAGAGUUCGGUAGGGGAGAUCGGAAUUCCUGGUGUAGCGGUGAAAUGCGCAGAUAUCAGGAGGAACACCGGUGGCGAAGGCGGAUCUCUGGACCGCAACUGACGCUGAGGCGCGAAAGCGUGGGGAGCAAACAGG
rnacentral:rRNA from 1 species